rnacentral:lncRNA from 1 species
ACACAUUUGGGACCUUCUCAGGCUUCACCCUAUGCACCUCUUUUUGCUGAUCCUGAUUUGUAUUAUUUGUGCUAUAAUAACACUGUAAUUAUAUGUAUAGGACUUUCCUGAAUUCUCUGUCACUGUCAGUCUAUUAAAUGAUUGAGCAUGAAGAGAGAGUAGGAACCCCUGAGUAUUUAGCUUGUUGGUCAGAAGUGCUGGUGGCCUUGGAACUCAUAAGCUUGUGGCUAGUUUCUGAGGUGAGUGAGAGGUCUUGUGAAGGACUGUGCCCUCAGCCUGUGAAGUCUGCCUAACUCUGGCUAGUCCAUCGCAAGUCACUGCACACGUAUUAAUUCAAUCAGCUCUAUGGUCUAACCCAGGCACAACAGGAAUACAACCUUUUACUACAGAUGUGGGAUUGUUCAUGUCAUCUACUAAUGCAAGAUGGAUCUGAGAACGCUGUCUGGGCUUGGUACCAAGAGCUGGUAUUUCACAGCAGCGACCGCCUCACAGACGAGCUGUGGGAAGCAGGAGGGAGACUCUCUCUUAGGGUGCCACUACUAUGGAGACACAGCUGGGCUGAACAAGAUUUGCUUCAAACGACAACAAGAGAGACAGAAAGUAUCUGGUUCAACCGCUGCCCGAGCAGGCAGGCACCAGAAGAGCUAGCAGCCAAUCCGGCCAUGCUCGAAGCCAGCUCUGCAGCUCAGCCAAUCAGUGACAUCAUUGCUUUCUUUAGCUUGCCCAUGGUGAUGUGAAGAUGAGAAGAAAUAGCAAGGCCCAACCAGUUCUUCAUCUGGAGACAGUUCAACGUUCUGCAAACCAGAUCUUCAGGAAUUUUACUGGGAUAAUUAUCCAAAUAAAUUGCAAGCAUUCUAUCCAAAUGGGAAAUCUGGGAAGAAAGAGAAUAGAAUGAGGUACAUGUUAGAAAUGGAAAUGGCGAAGAGCUCUUUCUGAGAUGAAGAGAAUUCUCAAUGUCAAGAUUUGAACAAGAAGAGAAUGGAAUACACAAUAUGGACAUCCAUAAAAAUUCAUCAGAGAGCAUUUUACUACUGAGCUGCAAAGGGAAAAACUUAAAAUGGAUAUGAAAAGUGAAGAAAGUGAUCAUAGGAGAAAACCAUUUCAGGUGUCUGAUGAUUUGUGAGCCUCAAGUGACUACUCUGUGGAAUCAUCUGUCCUUGCCUUUGAAUUAGCUUUCCCUAGGCCAUGAGUCAACAUUAGUAGUUUAUACAUCCAAAUUGAUGACAAGAGCACCUCAAAGGCAGCAGCCUCAAGGAGCAGCCAUGGCCCCAGACUUGUCGCACGGAUGCAGAAAACUUAAUGGAGGAGGCUGAGGUCAGAAUGGGAAGAGUUUUUAAAAAAUAAAAAGGGGAGCUAAUAUGUGAGGAA